rnacentral:misc_RNA from 2 species
CAACCAUCAAGCCCUGCUUGUGUUGGGGUCCUGCGGCUGCCCGCAGGCCCUGAAAACCAGUGGCGGGCUCGCUAGUCACACCGAGCGCAGUAAUACAUCUCGCUUUGGUCGUGCGGCGGGUUCUUGCCGUAAAACACCCCCCUUAACAAA